rnacentral:rRNA from 1 species
UACGUAGGGGGCAAGCGUUGUUCGGAAUUACUGGGCGUAAAGGGCGCGUAGGCGGCUGCGUAAGUCGGGAGUGAAAGCCCGGGGCUCAACCCCGGAAUGUCUCUCGAAACUGCGCGGCUCGAGUGCGGAAGAGGCAACUGGAAUUCCCAGUGUAGCGGUGAAAUGCGUAGAUAUUGGGAAGAACACCUGAGGCGAAGGCGGGUUGCUGGGCCGACACUGACGCUGAGGCGCGAAAGCUAGGGGAGCGAACUGG